rnacentral:rRNA from 1 species
CCUACGGGAGGCAGCAGUGAGGAAUAUUGGUCAAUGGACGAGAGUCUGAACCAGCCAAGUAGCGUGAAGGAUGACUGCCCUAUGGGUUGUAAACUUCUUUUAUAAAGGAAUAAAACGAGGCACGUGUGCCUUUUUGCAUGUACUUUAUGAAUAAGGAUCGGCUAACUCCGUGCCAGCAGCCGCGGUAAUACGGAGGAUCCGAGCGUUAUCCGGAUUUGUUGGGUUUAAAGGGAGCGUAGAUGGGUUGUUAAGUCAGUUGUGAAAGUUUGCGGCUCAACCGUAAAAUUGCAAUUGAUACUGGCAGUCUUGAGUACAGUUGAGGUAGGCGGAAUUCGUGGUGUAGCGGUGAAAUGCUUAGAUAUCACGAAGAACUCCGAUUGCGAAGGCAGCUUACUAAACUGCCACUGACAUUGAUGCUCGAAAGUGUGGGUAUCAAACAGGAUUAGAUACCCGUGUAGUC